UACGAAGGGUGCAAGCGUUAUUCGGAAUUAUUGGGCGUAAAGCGCGCGCAGGCGGAUUGAUAAGUCAGGUGUGAAAUCUCGAGGCUCAACCUCGAAACUGCGCCUGAAACUAUUAGUCUAGAGUGUUGGAGGGGGUAGGGGAAUUUCACGUGUAGGGGUAAAAUCCGUAGAGAUGUGAAGGAACACCGGGAGGCGAAGGCGCCUACCUGGACACUACUGACGCUGAGGCGCGAAAGCGUGGGGAGCAAACAGG
rnacentral:rRNA from 1 species